AUGGCGCCGCCGCCAACCUCCAACCCAGUACCACCGCCGGAGCCGCCGUCCCUUCGAGUCCAAGACGGGCUGCUCCAGGAAAUCUUCCUCCCGUCCACCGUGAUGGCCUCGCCGCCGGCGCCAGGCCCUCAGCAGAUCCCACAGCCGGCGUCGUCCGUCGCCGAUCUCCCGGAUGUGCUGCUCGAGGAAAUAUUCCUCCGCCUCCCCGCCGCCGCCGACCUCGCCCGCGCCUCCACCGCUUGCGCCUCCUUCCACAGCGUCAUCUCCGGCCACGCCUUCCUCCGGCGGUACCGCGUCAUCCACCCGCCGCCUCUCGUCGGCAUGGUCCACGAUCCCUUCAUCCCAGCUCAGCAGCCGCACCCCUCCGCCGUCCCAGCCCGCGCCUUCGUCGGCUUCGACUUCUCCUGCUCCUCCUUCCUCCCCUCCACCGCCGGCCGCUCCUGGAGUGAAAUUGACUUCUUUGACGGGCGGGCCCUCCUUGCCGGCGCCCCGGUCAAAGAAGAAUCCGGCAGCCGCUUGCUCGUGGGCGCUGAGCUGUGUGACUCACAGUACAGCCAAUUUUUGGUCAGGGUCCUCGCCGUGUGCGACCCCGUGCACCGCCGCUACAUCCUGCUGCCUGCCGUCCCCGACCACCUGAAAGCGCUGGUCCGUAGACCGGACCUCCUCAUGUUGGAGACUUUCCUUGCUCCCGGCGAGGAUGAGGACGACCCUUUAUCAUUCAGAGUGGUGUGCUUGGCACAAUGCAGAAUAAAUCUGCUGAUGCUGGGCUUCUCCUCUUUGGAUGGACAAUGGCACAUUCUUAUUCAUGAUCAAUGGAGUGCUCAGGCUACUAUUGGCUCAUUUGAGAACUCUGAGCCUUGGCUGUCCUGUCGUCAGUACGUCCACAGAUGCUUCUGUUGGCGUUUGCAUUUCAUGAACAAGUUGCUUCUCCUUGACACGCACACCAUGGAGUUCUCUGUUGUCAGCCUCCCACCUGAACAACCACCGAACCGCAAUUAUGUCAUUGUCGAGGCAGCGGACGGAAUGCUCGGGAUGCUCACUAAACGCUAUGAUGAGUACAGAGAAGAUGACCGAUGUUGGCUGGCGUAUUCAAUUCUAAGAAAUAACCAAUGGUACUCGGAGAAGGUCAUCCUGUUGCCGGUAAAGCAUGCUGCUCUUGUUGGUGUAGCUGGGGGAUACCUGCUCGUGGAGGCGUUGUACACCCCAUCUACACAACACAUGCUUAAGUUUGGACUAUUUUCCAUGGACGUCAAGACGUUGCAGGUCGAAUUGUUCGCUGAGCUUAGCAAACCCAACAUGUAUGGUCAGACUAUAUGCUGGUUUGCCACCAUCAUUGUGUGCACCAACUAUUUGAGGUGA
rnacentral:rRNA from 1 species